UUGCUGAUCAGAAUCAGUAUAGUGUACAUCAACACUAAAUGUGCCAGACCGAUAAAACGUGAGAGCCUUAACACUAGGUAUAGGGUUCCCCUUGGGAAAGACAACAGUGCUCUGCUGAUUGUCCACUGCCCCAUUUUGAGAAUCUGAAGCAGCACCUUUCCACGAGAGAGCUAUGUUAAAUGGGAAGUGCUCGUUUACCUUCAAAAGGGAAAACCAAAAAAUCAGGGAGGAAAUGCAAAAAAUCCUAUGUUCUUGAAAGUUUAGCUGAAUUGCAGAAAUGAUGAACUUCAAACUACCGCUACCAAUCAGAUACAUUGAACUAUGACACAUGUUCCAUCAAAAGUUAAUGAAAAGAUAAACAUUCCUAUAUGUGUGAAUAGUGCACAAGUGAACGCAAAAACAAUAAAUCUCUAUUCGUUAAGAACAUAUUAGUCAAAGGACAGUCUAAAGGAAAAUUUCAAUUGUAGUGAUUCAAUCGGUGCUCUUACCUGAAAUUCUCGCACUUUGAAUGUGGGACUGAGGAUUGCGCACUGAAGGGCACUACCUCUUGCAACACACUCACUUGCAUUCAUAGUACGCCUAGGCUCCUUUUUGAAGAAGUCUGUCAGUAUUUUGAUUAUAGCAGGGACACGAGACCCUGAACCAACGACUUCAACUACGUGGAUAUUCUCAAUGGUAAGACCAGCUUCUGCAAGAGCCUGCUCCAGAGGUCCUUUCACACGUUCUAAAAUAGGAAUGCUUAUUUGUUCAAAUUCAUCACGCUUAAUGAUUCCCUUCACAUCCUUCUCAUCCAUCAAACAUUCUAUGUUCAAAG
rnacentral:lncRNA from 1 species